rnacentral:rRNA from 1 species
UGGGGAAUAUUGGGCAAUGGAGGCAACUCUGACCCAGCAACGCCGCGUGAAUGAAGAAGGCCUUCGGGUUGUAAAGUUCUUUAAUUGGGGACGAAGAAAGUGACGGUACCCAAAGAAUAAGCCACGGCUAACUACGUGCCAGCAGCCGCGGUAAUACGUAGGUGGCAAGCGUUGUCCGGAAUGACUGGGCGUAAAGGGAGCGUAGGCGGCGCAACAAGUUAGGAGUGAAAUCCCAAGGCUUAACCAUGGAACUGCUUUUAAAACUGUUGUGCUUGAGUGAUGGAGAGGAAAGCGGAAUUCCUAGUGUAGCGGUGGAAUGCGUAGAUAUUAGGAGGAACACCAGAGGCGAAGGCGGCUUUCUGGACAUUAACUGACGCUGAGGCUCGAAAGCGUGGGGAGC